rnacentral:rRNA from 1 species
AUGAACGCUAGCGACGGGCCUAACACAUGCAAGUCGAGGGGCAGCACAAGGAGCAAUCUGAGGUGGCGACCGGCGCACGGGUGAGUAACACGUAUGCAACCUGCCUGUAAGCGGGGAAUAACCCGUUGAAAGACGGACUAAUACCGCAUAAUACUAAAUUACUGCAUGGUAAUUUAUUUAAACAUUUAUGGCUUACAGAUGGGCAUGCGCAUGAUUAGCUAGUUGGAGAGGUAACGGCUCCCCAAGGCAACGAUCAUUAGGGGUUCUGAGAGGAAGGUCCCCCACACUGGUACUGAGACACGGACCAGACUCCUACGGGAGGCAGCAGUGAGGAAUAUUGGUCAAUGGACGAGAGUCUGAACCAGCCAAGUCGCGUGCAGGAAGAAUGUCCUUAAUGGAUUGUAAACUGCUUUUGCAGGGGAAUAAAGUGCAUCACGUGUGAUGUUUUGUAUGUACUCUGCGAAUAAGGAUCGGCUAACUCCGUGCCAGCCGCAGC